GCGGGGCGGAGCUUACACAUGCAAGUCGAACGAUGAACCACUUCGGUGGGGAUUAGUGGCGAACGGGUGAGUAACACGUGGGCAAUCUGCCCUUCACUCUGGGACAAGCCCUGGAAACGGGGUCUAAUACCGGAUACCACUACCGCAGGCAUCUGUGGUGGUUGAAAGCUCCGGCGGUGAAGGAUGAGCCCGCGGCCUAUCAGCUUGUUGGUGAGGUAAUGGCUCACCAAGGCGACGACGGGUAGCCGGCCUGAGAGGGCGACCGGCCACACUGGGACUGAGACACGGCCCAGACUCCUACGGGAGGCAGCAGUGGGGAAUAUUGCACAAUGGGCGAAAGCCUGAUGCAGCGACGCCGCGUGAGGGAUGACGGCCUUCGGGUUGUAAACCUCUUUCAGCAGGGAAGAAGCGAAAGUGACGGUACCUGCAGAAGAAGCGCCGGCUAACUACGUGCCAGCAGCCGCGGUAAUACGUAGGGCGCAAGCGUUGUCCGGAAUUAUUGGGCGUAAAGAGCUCGUAGGCGGCUUGUCACGUCGGGUGUGAAAGCCCGGGGCUUAACCCCGGGUCUGCAUUCGAUACGGGCUAGCUAGAGUGUGGUAGGGGAGAUCGGAAUUCCUGGUGUAGCGGUGAAAUGCGCAGAUAUCAGGAGGAACACCGGUGGCGAAGGCGGAUCUCUGGGCCAUUACUGACGCUGAGGAGCGAAAGCGUGGGGAGCGAACAGGAUUAGAUACCCUGGUAGUCCACGCCGUAAACGGUGGGAAUCAUUGGGUGUUGGCGACAUUCCAAGUCGUCGGUGCCGCAGGUAACGCAUUAAGUUCCCCUCCUGGGGAGUACGGCCGCAAGGCUAAAUCUCAAAGGAAUUGACGGGGGCCCGCACAAGCAGCGGAGCAUGUGGCUUAAUUUGACGCAACGCGAAGAACCUUACCAAGGCUUGACAUACACCGGAAAGCAUUAGAGAUAGUUCCCCCAUGGUGGUCGGUGUACAGGUGGUGCAUGGCUGUCGUCAGCUCGUGUCGUGAGAUGUUGGGUUAAGUCCCGCAUCGAGCGCAACCCCCGUUGCGGGUUGCCAGCAUGCCCUUCGGGGUGAUGGGGACUCACAGGAGACCGCCGGGGUCAACUCGGAGGAAGGUGGGGACGACGUCAAGUCAUCAUGCCCCUUAUUUCUUGGGCUGCACACGUGCUACAAUGGCAGGUACAAUGAGGUGCGAUACCGUGAGGUGGAGCGAAUCUCAAAAAGCCUGUCUCAGUUCGGAUGGGGUCUGCAACUCGACCCCAUGAAGUCGGAGUCCAUCGUAAUACCAGAUCAGCAUUGGUGCGGUGAAUACGUUCCCGGGCCUUGUACACGCCGCCCGUCAGUCACGAAAGUCGGUAACACCGGAACCCGGUGGCCCAACCCCUUGGGGAGCGAGCAUCGAAGGUGGGACUGGCGAUGGGACGAAGUCGACGCAAUACAUCCCCC
rnacentral:rRNA from 1 species